rnacentral:rRNA from 1 species
GAUGAACGCUGGCGGCGUGCCUAAUACAUGCCAGUCGAGCGAACAGAUGAGGAGCUUGCUCCUCUGACGUUAGCGGCGGACGGGUGAGUAACACGUGGAUAACCUACCUAUAAGACUGGGAUAACUUCGGGAAACCGGAGCUAAUACCGGAUAAUAUAUUGAACCGCAUGGUUCAAUAGUGAAAGACGGUUUUGCUGUCACUUAUAGAUGGAUCCGCGCCGCAUUAGCUAGUUGGUAAGGUAACGGCUUACCAAGGCAACGAUGCGUAGCCGACCUGAGAGGGUGAUCGGCCACACUGGAACUGGGACACGGUCCAGACCCCUACGGGAGGCAGCAGUAGGGAAUCUUCCGCAAUGGGCGAAAGCCUGACGGAGCAACGCCGCGUGAGUGAUGAAGGUCUUCGGAUCGUAAAACUCUGUUAUUAGGGAAGAACAAAUGUGUAAGUAACUAUGCACGUCUGGACGGUACCUAAGCAGAAAGCCACGGCUAACUACGG